rnacentral:miRNA from 1 species
UGCUUGCACCCGCUGCUGGCG